AUUUGGUCGUAGACCCGAAACCAGGUGAUCUACCCUUGGUCAGGUUGAAGUUCAGGUAACACUGAAUGGAGGACCGAACCGACUUACGUUGAAAAGUGAGCGGAUGAACUGAGGGUAGCGGAGAAAUUCCAAUCGAACCUGGAGAUAGCUGGUUCUCUCCGAAAUAGCUUUAGGGCUAGCCUCAAGUGAUGAUUAUUGGAGGUAGAGCACUGUUUGGACGAGGGGCCCCUCUCGGGUUACCGAAUUCAGACAAACUCCGAAUGCCAAUUAAUUUAACUUGGGAGUCAGAACAUGGGUGAUAAGGUCCGUGUUCGAAAGGGAAACAGCCCAGACCACCAGCUAAGGUCCCAAAAUAUAUGUUAAGUGGAAAAGGAUGUGGCGUUGCCCAGACAACUAGGAUGUUGGCUUAGAAGCAGCCAUCAUUUAAAGAGUGCGUAAUAGCUC
rnacentral:rRNA from 1 species